rnacentral:rRNA from 1 species
AACGAACGCUGGCGGCAGGCUUAACACAUGCAAGUCGAGCGCCCCGCAAGGGGAGCGGCAGACGGGUGAGUAACGCGUGGGAACGUACCCUUUGCUACGGAAUAGCCCCGGGAAACUGGAAUUAAUACCGUAUGUGCCCUACGGGGGAAAGAUUUAUCGGCAAAGGAUCGGCCCGCGUUGGAUUAGCUAGUUGGUGGGGUAAUGGCCUGCCAAGGCGACGAUCCAGAGCUGGUCUGAGAGGACGAUUAGCCACAUUGGGACUGAGACACGGCCCAAACUCCUACGGGAGGCAGCAGUGGGGAAUAUUGGACAAUGGGCGCAAGCCUGAUCCAGCCAUGCCGCGUGAGUGAUGAAGGCCUUAGGGUUGUAAAGCUCUUUCACCGGAGAAGAUAAUGACGGUAUCCGGAGAAGAAGCCCCGGCUAACUUCGUGCCAGCCGCCGCAGUAAGAC